GGCCUACCAUGGUGGUAACGGGUAACGGGGUGUUAGGGCACGACACCGGAGAGGGAGCCUGAGAAACGGCUACCACAUCCAAGGAAGGCAGCAGGCGCGCGAAUUACCCAAUCCCGACACGGGGAGGUAGUGACAAUAAGUAACAAUACAGGGUCCUUUCGGGUCUUGUAAUUGGAAUGAGUACAAUUUAAAUCUCUUAACGAGGAACAAUUGGAGGGCAAGUCUGGUGCCAGCAGCCGCGGUAAUUCCAGCUCCAAUAGCGUAUAUUAAAGUUGUUGCAGUUAAAAAGCUCGUAGUUGAAUUUCGGGAUCAAUACGUCGGUCGUGCCUCGGUACGUACUAACGUCAUUGAUCUCUCCCUUCUGACGAGCCGUGAUGUCAUCCAUUUGGUGUUACGGGGAGUCAGGACUGUUACUUUGAAAAAAUUAGAGUGUUUAAAGCAGGCAAUCGCUCGAAUACAUUAGCAUGGAAUAAUGAAAUAGGACGUUCGAACCUAUUUUGUUGGUUUCUAGGAUCGACGUAAUGAUUAAUAGGGAUAGUUGGGGGCAUUAGUAUUCAAUUGUCAGAGGUGAAAUUCUUGGAUUUAUUGAAGACUAACUACUGCGAAAGCAUUUGCCAAGGAUGUUUUCAUUAAUCAAGAACGAAAGUUAGGGGAUCGAAGACGAUCAGAUACCGUCGUAGUCUUAACCAUAAACUAUGCCGACUAGGGAUCGGAUGAUGUUAAUUUUUUAAUGACUCAUCGGCGCCUUACG
rnacentral:rRNA from 1 species